rnacentral:rRNA from 1 species
UACGUAGGGCGCAAGCGUUGUCCGGAAUUAUUGGGCGUAAAGAGCUCGUAGGCGGCCAGUUGCGUCUGCUGUGAAAUCCCGGGGCUCAACCCCGGGCGUGCAGUGGAUACGGGCUGGCUAGAGGCAGGCAGGGGAGAACGGAAUUCCCGGUGUGGCGGUGAAAUGCGCAGAUAUCAGGAGGAACACCGGUGGCGAAGGCGGGUCUCUGGGCCGAUACGGACGCUGAGGAGCGAAAGCGUGGGGAGCGAACAGG